CAAGUGGACAAGUGCCAACCCGAUGAGGCCA
rnacentral:piRNA from 1 species